GUCCCCGUCAUCUAGCCUGGCCUAGGAUACCAGACUUUCGAUCUGGAAACGGGGGUUCAAAUCCCCCCGGGGACA
rnacentral:tRNA from 1 species